rnacentral:lncRNA from 1 species
GUCUUUCACCUCUGCGGCGUCCCGUAUUGCGGGGAAAAAGGCUUCUAAGGGGCAGCGUCCCCAUCUGCCAGGUCAGGGGAAGAAGACUGUUAGGAACUUAAUCCCUAUCUCCGCCGCUUGCCGCUGCCCCUGCUUCUAAGGGCAUCAUCAAAAACAGACUUGGAGCAGAGACUGCGGAACUGGGCAGAGGCGCUCUUGGGAUUGGGGAGGAAAUUGGCAGUUACGGAAGGAAGGGGAUAAUUGCCCUGGGUGGAGCUAAAAUUCCUUAAUACAGAUUUUUCUCAUUUCAGCUGGGGUAU